AUGUACAAAAAUGUAUUUAUGCUCUAGAAUAACAACUGUACUUGCAAUAUAUGUUCCUUGGGGUGACAUAUAAUUCCAAAGCGUAUUAGAUUGACUCGUCCUUUUGUUUUGUUGGGCUAAGGUAAAAGAAUUGCAAGCUAUGUUUAAUUUUGUUUAUGAACAUGUAAAAGUCAGUUGGGGGAGAGAAAGAUUGAACUAUUUGAGUUGGGUAGGUUUCUAGUCAUGUAUAUUAGUCUGGAAGGAAUGCAUUUGUAUUUAGGUAGAUAUUAAGAAAUUUCCUUUACGAGACAAGACAACCAUGUAACAAUUACUACAUAUGCAACCAACACUAUUGCUGUAUCAGCUCGCCUCACAGGGAACAUCACAUAUCUGUCAGAAAAAUCCAGAUCGAAGUAGAAGGUAAGAUCAAAUGCUAUGCCAAGGUUGUCUUUUAUGAGCAGUCUAAGUAACUUGCAGAAAGUGGCUCACAGAGGUUUGUCAUAGGCUCCAAAAAUUGCCGUUGAUGAAACUGGUCCAAAAGAUGUUUAUAUGAAAAAAAAAAGUUCUGGACUGGCUCCCUUUGGUAGAGUUGCUUGCGAAACAAUGACUCAAAUUCAAGAGAACUGUCUUUCAUCUUUUUCUGCAGAUGGGAAAGAACAACUCCCUUCUGUUUCAAUGGUUGUGGAAUGGAUGAUAACAUGUGACCCUGUAAAAGACAAAAGCAUCCGUUUAUCUCACACAUAUGAAAGUUCCCCGACAGGACACUGUUCAAGGUUUAGUAAUUUGUUGGUCUUCAUCUUUAAUAUUAUCUUGGAAAUUGGGAGCCAAUAUUUAAUAUUAUGAUGGAUAUCAUAUUCAGAAUUUACUGCUGUUGCAUUGACACUCCGUGGCAUAAUUGAAUAUAUAUGUAUUACUAUGUACUAUUUUUGUUAUUCUCAUUGUAUCUGCUUAAUGUUUGGCUGUUCCUUUUGUAGGCAUUGCUUGCUUUGUGUUUCUGAUGAAUCAGUCUCGUCUAAGGUUUUUCCCUUGAUUUAUCCAUUAAUCAAGUUAUGAAUGCCUUGAAUUCUCAAAAGAGGCUUGUUGAUGCAUCUGGAAACAAUAGGCCAAUUGGGCGAACAUGUCAUGGCAAAAAAUCAUUUGUAUAAUCUAGAGCAUUGUGUAUGAGAUAAUACUUUUGUAACGUCUUAAAUGCUGACCAACUUCUGCUGUUUAUUCAUUUCCUUAGAGAUAUUACAUCCCCGAAAAACUUCUCAUGGUAGCAGAUUAUACUUGUAAUUAAGUUGCAGAUAUUUCAAGGAUUAUAGUUUGCAUAUUUAAGUCAUGUGGACGAGAGAGUGGAAACUUCCACCUAAGUAAGGACCGUUGGAAUAUAUAUUUGAGUGUAUCAAAUGCUGAUUUAGCAAGAGACAUACAAAUCAAUGGUUUGUCUAGGUGUUCAAUGCUGUACUUGGAUCAUUUGAUAUUCUGUGUAUUAAAUAACUUGACCAUCAAAUAAUCUUUUUAAUAUUGGUUGUGUGUUCGGGAGCAGGUAAUUUGCUGUUUGGAAGGGGCAAGAAUUGGCAUACAGUAUAAGACAUCUUUUGCUGGUACUUUGGAACUAAUUUGUUCAUGACUUCACUAAUUCAUGAGGCGACAUUAUGAAUAUGGAGGCUGGAUCUUUCUCUACAGGCUUCUUCCAUUUCCUGUUUUUUGAUGAUAACACAGUUCCGUUUUUCUUGCCAAUAUGCGAAACAGAAAAUGAUCUCCUUUCAUCCAAUGCAAUGUUUAUGCAGAGAUUGUAUUAAAUCUUCCACAUGCGCUUCGGCAGCUGUACUAUUAAAGAACAGCUUCACCCUUUCAGCAGUCUGAGAGAUUCUCUUGUAAAUUGGUUAUAGGUCGAGGAUUCAUUUUUCUGUACUUGUCACACGACAUACAUUAUAUUGUUAUUCCUCUCUAAUACCCUCUGGUGGUGGGCUGUAUAAUUUGUUGUACAACAGGGCUAUGUUGACUUUCAUUGACUAUUGAGACUUAAUUCAUCUCUCCUCCCCAAUCUAUCUAUAUACAUGUAAUUUGAGUA